rnacentral:lncRNA from 1 species
UGAGUUUGCCAGGAAAGCUGCUGUGUCAAGAACAUCACGGAGCGGAGGCUUCCCAGACCUCAACUCCUCACUCCUGGGGCUCGAACCCGCCUCAAACAGGAAGACGAGACAAGAGACAACCGCGAAGGACGCCCACCUGCCAUCCUCCUAUCUCACCCUCCCCGCGGCCUUGCUGCAGGCAGCCUCUCAAGGCCAAACCAGGCUGGUGGGAAAAUGCCAGCCUGCACAGCUACAUGCGCCCCCUCCCCUACCCAAAACCCCCAAUAAAAAUCCCUACCCAUUCCUCAUCGGGGAGCUAGCAAUUUUUGAGGCAUGAGCCCUUGCUUUGCUCCCUGUGCCUGGCAUAGUAAAAACCUUUCCUCUUCCACUCAAGACUCUGUUCUCGUUAUUUGGAUUGGCGACGGGUUCAGAGACCGAACUUUCGGUUACAAAUUUGGCGACCCAGAUGGGACCCGUGGGUGGUCCCCACUGAGACCCCCUUGGCUUGAUCGGAUGCUCCAGAGUCGUACUCCGAGCCUGCCCCAACAGGGGAAGUGGAGGGUUGGAGGAAGACUCAGGGAGGCCAGAUCGCCGAGGGCCGGUGCUUAGGAGCGCCAGGGACAGCUGGAGGGGCCGCUCCAGCAGCUGCCAAAACCCAUUUUGCUUUGGGAGUCUUCCCUCCUGCCUCCUCCCAGGGCGACUGUUCGGACCUCUGGUUACCAGGGAAACUAUCUUGAGGAAAAGGAAAGUGCAUUUGUUUGAAGUCGCCGCGACGCCCCGGCCAAAUUUUGGGCCGUGGUGCUGAGGCGACGCUGCUCAAGGUGGAUCCGGAGCCCCGCGGCUUCGGAAGCUGAGACACCUAUCGCGAGGGGAGAACCUGGCGCUCCCCCGCUCCGACGCAAGGCGACCCGCCGCCGCAGCCCCGGAAGCGCAUCCUCGGCUUCGCGGGCCUUCCUGUUCCCAGCAGCGCCCGGCUCCGGGCGUUUCUUCGCUCUCCCACGGUCCGCGCCCGCCCUGCCCCAGCCGAGGGCACCCGCGCGGCCAGGGCCGCAGCUGGGAGCCCCGCGCCUCUCGGACGGCCGCGCGACUCGGUGACCACCUCGGAGGCCUCAGUGUCUCUGGAGAGUCAGCCACCUGGUGUCCUGAUAAACUUCCUAAAGAAAUCUUUCUAGGAGCAGUGUGAGGAGGACAGACGAGCCCUCUGGACUGGCAAGGCCACCGGCCAAGUACUGCUGCCACCAUGCCCAAGAGAAAGGCAAAAGGAGAUGCUAAAGGUGACAAAGCAAAGGUGAAGGAUGAGCCACAGAGGAGAUCAGCACGGUUGUCCGCUAAACCUGCCCCCCCAAAACCAGAGCCCAGGCCUAAAAAGGCCCCUGCAAAGAAGGGAGAGAAGCUACCCAAAGGGAGAAAGGGGAAAGCAGAUAGUGGCAAGGAUGGGAACAACCCUGCGAAAAACCGAGAUGCCACCACAGUCCAGUCACAGAAAGCGGAAGGCAGCGGGGAUGCCAAGUGAAGUGUGCUAUUUUGAUAGCUCUGUACUUGUAGUGACUCUGCUGUUUGAAAUACUGUUUUUUUUUAAAUCAACUUUUAUAAAAAUGUAGAAUUUUGUUUUUCUUUUUAAGUUAUAUUGUUAGCACACAGGACACUUUGUUGUCUUUUGUGGAAAGGGCAAAUACCACUAACAGAGUGUUUCAGAAGCUGGAUUAAAAUGGAGGAAAAUAGUAUUUUCUGUCCUCAUUUUUGAAGAUUAUUCUUGGUCCCUGGGAGAGAUUCUCUGACAUUCACACACGAGUCAGUCACUUUGGCUCAGACGCCUUACAGUGUGUGGAAGCAAAACUUCAUGUCUUUGCCUUUCCUGAUACCAUCAGCAUAUAUUUGACUUUCUGAACCCAAGAGUUAUGGUUUCAGAAAACCAGCAUCCCUAAAAUCAGCUGUGUUGGGUAAUAAUCCUCAGGCCUUCUGAUGAAGACAUCGACAUGGUGUUGCUCAAAAGAGCCAAGAUUCCUGUUUGCAAUUUGUGGAUCAUCCCAUUGAUAAUCCUGGAGUUUGUAGUUUUCUCCAAGUCAGAAAUGACCUGUGAAAAGCUCUUACAUGCCUCAUGUGAAAUAUCCACCCCUUCUGACAACUUUGCCUGUUCAAAGCAGGAACAGAAGACUUUGUUGACUUUUUGGGGAGGGGUGUUUGGAAGUUGUAAAAUGUUAUGGAUUGUCACCUAUGUCCUGCUGGAAAUAACUGUUUUUGAAAAGUAUCUUAUGGAGCUGUAUACAAGUUGGCUUGGUGGUAGGGGGGUAUCAUUUCCUACCCAAAGUCAUAAAGAUAUUCUUUACUGCCUUGUAAAAGUUUUACAGUUUUGCUUUUCAUACGUCUUUAGUCUUUAGAACUGGUUUUUGUGAAAAGUAUGAGAUAGAAGUUCAAUAUAAUAUAUUUUCCAUAUAGAUAAGUGGUUGUUGCAGCACCAUUUUCUGAAAAGUUCAUCCUUUCCUCACUGACCUGUAACACUGUCUCUUUCAUAAAUCAAGUUUGUGUGUUUGUGUGGGUCUCUUGAUGGUUUCUGUUCUGACUCACUGGUCAAUUUGUCUAACCUGUGGCAGUACUAUACAAUCGUGAGUAUGACAACUUUAGAAAAAGGUCUUGAUAUCUCAGGACAAAUCCCACCUCCACCUCCAACAUCAUCACCAAAUUUUUCUUCCUUGAGAGUAUCUUGGCUAUUUUUAGCCAUUUGCUUUUCCAUACAAUUUCUAGAAUUAGAUUGAGAAGUUCUAAAUCAAACAAAAAAAAAUGUUGGAAUUUUUAUUAGAUUUAUGGAUUAAUUACAGUGUUGAAUCUUCCAAUCCAUGAACAUGGUAUAGCAUUUAUUUAGGCUUUUUAAAUGUCUUUCAAUAAAGUUUUAUAAUUUUCUCCAUAAAUGUCUUCUUUUGUUAAUAUUUCCUGGGGACUUUAUACCUUUUGAUGCUCUUUUAUGUGGUAUAUUUUAGUUACUACAUUUUCUGGUUUUAGCUAAAGUUGAUUUUUGUAUCCAGCAACCUUGCUAAAUUCUCAAUUCUUAUAUGUCUGUAUACUUCUUUGGGUUUUCUGCCUAGAUAACCAUAUAUUCUGUGUAUGCAAACAAUUUUUUUUCCUCACAGUCCUUAUGUGUCCUUUUCCUUUUUCUAAAGUGAGGCAUUGUCCAAGUGCUGAGGGU